rnacentral:rRNA from 1 species
AGACGGGUGAGUAACGCGUGGGAACGUACCUUUUGCUACGGAAUAACUCAGGGAAACUUGUGCUAAUACCGUAUGUGCCCUUCGGGGGAAAGAUUUAUCGGCAAAGGAUCGGCCCGCGUUGGAUUAGCUAGUUGGUGAGGUAAAGGCUCACCAAGGCGACGAUCCAUAGCUGGUCUGAGAGGAUGAUCAGCCACACUGGGACUGAGACACGGCCCAGACUCCUACGGGAGGCAGCAGUGGGGAAUAUUGGACAAUGGGCGCAAGCCUGAUCCAGCCAUGCCGCGUGAGUGAUGAAGGCCCUAGGGUUGUAAAGCUCUUUCACCGGUGAAGAUAAUGACGGUAACCGGAGAAGAAGCCCCGGCUAACUUCGUGCCAGCAGCCGCGGUAAUACGAAGGGGGCUAGCGUUGUUCGGAUUUACUGGGCGUAAAGCGCACGUAGGCGGACUUUUAAGUCAGGGGUGAAAUCCCGGGGCUCAACCCCGGAACUGCCUUUGAUACUGGAAGUCUUGAGUAUGGUAGAGGUGAGUGGAAUUCCGAGUGUAGAGGUGAAAUUCGUAGAUAUUCGGAGGAACACCAGUGGCGAAGGCGGCUCACUGGACCAUUACUGAC